CAAUAGCGUAUAUUAAAGUUGUUGCAGUUAAAAAGCUCGUAGUUGGAUUUCUGGUGGGAGCGAUCGGUCUGGCGCUUAGCGCAAGUACUUGCAUCGUCUCCGGCCAUCCUUGGGGAAAGUCUGUCUGGCAUUAAGUUGUCGGGCAGAGGAUCCUCAUCGUUUACUGUGAAAAAAUUAGAGUGUUCAAAGCAGGCUUAUGCCGUUGAAUAUAUUAGCAUGGAAUAAUAAGAUAGGACUUUGGUACUAUUUUGUUGGUUUGCGCACCAAAGUAAUGAUUAAUAGGGACAGUUGGGGGUAUUCGUAUUCCGUUGUCAGAGGUGAAAUUCUUGGAUUUACGGAAGACGAACUACUGCGAAAGCAUUUACCAAGGAUGUUUUCAUUAA
rnacentral:rRNA from 1 species